ACAAAGUGACACCAACUUACAAGGACAAAUACGUAAUCAUCCUCUGUUUUUUGCCGUUGCAUUGGGUCUACUGGCUGAGAUCAUAAACUCAAGGCUUUUCACAACAGUUAGGGACUCUCUGGGACUGACAUGAUGUUUCAUUCGAACUUAACCUCUUUGACCGGUUGAAGCUUGGGUGGUAUGUAAUCUCAGUGACUUCAACCCCUGGAAAGGUGCACAAAGCUGUUGAUGCUUGCAAGAAUGUCCUAAGAGGUCUACAUAGCAACAGGAUUGUACCGAGGGAAUUAGACCGGGCAAGACGAACACUGCUUAUGCGACAUGAAGCCGAGAUCAAGUCAAAUGCCUAUUGGCUUGGAUUGUUGUCUCAUUUACAAGCCCCUCUGUACCUAGGAAGGUAUUGCUUUGUUCUUGGUGUAUUGUUCUCACUAUUUUAUCCAUGACCAAAGAGACAUCACAUAGAAGCAGCCCAUAAGUUUUGCAGUUUUAUUAUUUAGCUACAUUAUUCUUUGAGCUUUAACUUCUAUCUUUGUUUUGUUUGUUAUCAUGACAUAUCUUGCAUCAAAGAUCUCACUUUGUUGUAUGAAACUGCCACCAUUGAAGACGCAUAUGUUGCCUAUGAGCAGUUGAAGAUAGAUGAGAACUCUCUGUAUUCUUGCAUUGGUGUUGCUGGGGCUCAGGCUGGAGAAGAUGUUUCUGCCUCAUUAGAAGUGGAAGAAAUAGAUGAGGGCCUUCAAGGUGUUGUUCCCAUGGGACGAGGAUCAUCUACUGUGACGCGUCCAACUACAUGAGUCAUUAGCAAAAA